rnacentral:rRNA from 1 species
GACGAACGCUGGCGGCGUGCUUAACACAUGCAAGUCGAGCGGUAAGGCCCUUUCGGGGGUACACGAGCGGCGAACGGGUGAGUAACACGUGGGUGACCUGCCCUUAGCUCUGGGAUAAGCCUGGGAAACUGGGUCUAAUACCGGAUAUGACUCCAUGACGCAUGUUGUGGGGUGGAAAGCCUUGUGCGGCUAGGGAUGGGCCCGCGGCCUAUCAGCUUGUUGGUGGGGUGAUGGCCACCAAGGCGACGACGGGUAGCCGGCCUGAGAGGGCGACCGGCCACACUGGGACUGAGACACGGCCCAGACUCCUACGGGAGGCAGCAGUGGGGAAUCUUGCGCAAUGGGCGAAAGCCUGACGCAGCGACGCCGCGUGAGGGAUGACG